AUUGAACGCUGGCGGCAGGCCUAACACAUGCAAGUCGAGCGGUAACAGGCCGUUGGGUGCUGACGUCAGGGGAGGGGGGGUGUGAUAUACCUGGACGUAUGCAGAGUAGGGGGGUAUAGCGGCGAAAGACGGGCUAUAAUCGCACAUGAGCUGAGAGGGAGAACGGGGGAGAGCUUAGGACUGCUCGCUCUCAGGUGAUUGUAGGUGGCGAUGUCGGAUUAGCUAGUUGGUGGGGUAAAGGCCUACCAAGGCGACGAUCCGUAGCUGGUCUGAGAGGACGAUCAGCCACACUGGAACUGAGACACGGCCCAGACUCCUACGGGAGGCAGCAGUGGGGAAUAUUGGACAAUGGGCGCAAGCCUGAUCCAGCCAUGCCGCGUGUGUGAAGAAGGUCUUCGGAUUGUAAAGCACUUUUAGUUGGGAGGAAACGCAGUAAGCUAAUACCGUGCGGUAUUGACGGUACCUGCAGAAUAAGCACCGGCUAACUUCGUG
rnacentral:rRNA from 1 species